rnacentral:rRNA from 1 species
AACGAACGCUGGCGGCAUGCCUAACACAUGCAAGUCGAACGAGACCUUCGGGUCUAGUGGCGCACGGGUGCGUAACGCGUGGGAACCUGCCCUUAGGUUCGGAAUAACUCCCCGAAAGGGGUGCUAAUACCGGAUAGGAGCUCCUGCUGCAUGGUGGGGGUUGGAAAGUUUCGGCGGUUGGGGAUGGACUCGCGGCUUAUCAGCUUGUUGGUGGGGUAGUGGCUUACCAAGGCUUUGACGGGUAGCCGGCCUGAGAGGGUGACCGGCCACAUUGGGACUGAGAUACGGCCCAGACUCCUACGGGAGGCAGCAGUGGGGAAUAUUGCACAAUGGGCGGAAGCCUGAUGCAGCAACGCCGCGUGCGGGAUGACGGCCUUCGGGUUGUAAACCGCUUUCGCCUGUGACGAAGCGUGAGUGACGGUAAUGGGUAAAGAAGCACCGGCUAACUACGUG